rnacentral:rRNA from 1 species
GACGAACGCUGGCGGCGUGCUUAACACAUGCAAGUCGAACGGAAAGGCCCUGCUUUUGUGGGGUGCUCGAGUGGUGAACGGGUGAGUAACACGUGAGUAACCUGCCCUUGACUUUGGGAUAACUUCAGGAAACUGGGGCUAAUACCGGAUAGGAGCUCCUGCUGCAUGGUGGGGGUUGGAAAGUUUCGGCGGUUGGGGAUGGACUCGCGGCUUAUCAGCUUGUUGGUGGGGUAGUGGCUUACCAAGGCUUUGACGGGUAGCCGGCCUGAGAGGGUGACCGGCCACAUUGGGACUGAGAUACGGCCCAGACGCCUACGGGAGGCAGCAGUGGGGAAUAUUGCACAAUGGGCGGAAGCCUGAUGCAGCAACGCCGCGUGCGGGAUGACGGCCUUCGGGUUGUAAACCGCUUUCGCCUGUGACGAAGCGUGAGUGACGGUAAUGGGUAAAGAAGCACCGGCUAACUACGU